ensembl:snRNA U6 U6 spliceosomal RNA
GUGCUCGCUUCGGCAGCUCAUAUACUAACAUUGGAACGAUACAGAGAAGAUGAGCAUGGCCCCUGCGCGAGGAGGACAUGCAAAUUCAUGAAGCGUUCCAUAUUUUU